AAACGAAGAAUACCAGAACAAAGAGAAAAUGCAAUAAAAUAUAGCGUUUAAUUUGGUAUGCUAAUCUAGUCCUGCCUUUUUUUAUUAUGAUAUAUUUAUUCA
rnacentral:ribozyme from 18 species